CUCAUAUAUCAGAUGUUGCGCCUUGCUUUUGUGAUCAAAACUGUAGAGACAGUCUGGUUAGUACACCACCUCCGAAAUUUGAUCAGGCAGUGUUUCAGGGAAGUCAUGGUGCCAUUGUUAGUUAUAGCCGACCUCCUAGUAUUCGAUAUAAGCGAGAAAUUUACUUAACAUUCACCGAUCUGCUGGUCUACAUUGGUGGAACUGCUGGAUUUUUUAUUGGUUUCAAUGUUCUGG